rnacentral:rRNA from 1 species
GAUGAACGCUGGCGGCGUGCCUAAUACAUGCAAGUCGAGCGAACAGAUGAGGAGCUUGCUCCUCUGACGUUAGCGGCGGACGGGUGAGUAACACGUGGAUAACCUACCUAUAAGACUGGGAUAACUUCGGGAAACCGGAGCUAAUACCGGAUAAUAUAUUGAACCGCAUGGUUCAAUAGUGAAAGACGGUUUUGCUGUCACUUAUAGAUGGAUCCGCGCCGCAUUAGCUAGUUGGUAAGGUAACGGCUUACCAAGGCAACGAUGCGUAGCCGACCUGAGAGGGUGAUGGGCAAACCUGAAACGAAAAACGGGUCAAACUCCCACGGGAAGCAACAGGAGGGGAAUCUCCGGAAUUGGGGGAAGGCUGACCGAGGCAAGCCGGGGUGGGUGAUGAGGGCCUCGGGACGGUAAACUCUUGUAAUAGGGAAAAAAAAAAUGUGAAAGUACUAAUGACGGUUUGGCGGGACCCAAACAAAAAGGCACGGCCAACUUCGUU